GGAAGGUUAUGUUCUCCUGUUCCAUUGAUAUCAGGCUUGGCAGUAUGACUUCUCUGACAAAAUUGCAUGCUGCAACUUGAGGGAUCUCAGUUCCCAGACAAAGGAUUGAACCAGACCAUAGUGGUGAAAGCACUGAGUACUAACUACUCGGCAACCAGUGCAUGUUACAGAGGUAUGGAGGAUGAGUCUCAAGUUUCUGGCUGCUUGGAAUGGAAGCACAUCAAUAAGGAUUAUGAUGAGAGGAAGAGUCACAGAUGGAGCAGAGAAAAAUACCUUCACUUUUGGAUACAUUGAUUUUGAUGUCUACCAUGGUCACUUGUCCAGUAGGUGGUUGUGUAUUCAGGUUUGAAUACCAGGUUUGAGAAUAUAUAUUUUUACAUCAUUUCACAUAGGUGAGUUUUUAAACCAUGAAAGUGAGUGACUUUGGCCAGGAGAAUAGGUGGAGGAAAAAGAAAUGUGGGUAGAAAAAUUGUGGGGAAAAAAGUUUUUUGUGUUAAAAUUUAAAGGAAGCAGUUUAUAUUUCAUAAUCCUAUGUCCCUGUCUUGACCCACUCUUCAUCACUCUGCUUACUGGUAACCAUACUUUGUUUUCUAUAUCUAUGAGUCUGUUUUGGUUUGUUAUACACAUUUGUUUUAUAAAAUAAAUGAGAAACAAGGGUAAACUCUUCAGCAUAUGGAAAUAUAUCCGUUAUUUUGUAAUAACUUUAAAUGGAGUAUACACUGUAAAGAUAUUUAGUCACUACAUCUGAAACUAAUAUAAUAUUGUAAAUCAACUAUACUUCAAAAAAACAUAAAGGACUGAUUUUGUAGUGUAAUUUAUGUAGACUAUGCUAAAAAAAAGAAUGGUGAAAAGAUAAGGAACCAUGCAAUUGACAAAUUAACUUGAUCAUAAUCUCUGAAAUAUUUAAAUUGUAAAAAAAUCAAUAUAUUUUAGAAUUUCUCAAAAUGCACUUUCAGCAUGCAUUAAAGUUAAUUCAGUUAAGCCUUGCCAUAUAACUCACAUCCAAACAUGACCCAGUAAGAAAUUAGGCAGGUGUAAUUUUCUAUGUGGUGCUAAGGACUGUUUUUUUCUUGAUCUACUCAUUAUUUCACGUGUUUAAAAAUAAUUAGGCCAAUCAGAUAUAUAUCUUUCUGCUGAUGCAAACAGGAAGACAAGUAUUGUCCCAUUGCCUUUGCCCUGGCAUGGUAAAAAAGAGGCAGUUGCGUAUAUUUGCCAAUAUCAACAUCAAUUAGUCAAAUUAAAAUGAUUGAAUUCACCAUCAUAAACUGAUCUUUCUUGAAUAAUUACAUAUGGUGUGAUAAUACAUACAGCAAAAACGACGUUCUAUAAACUUCAGGCAGGUUUUCCAAUGUAUAUAGCAGUGUGCUGAUAUCUUUCCUAGAUACUUUGUAAACCAAAAACACUCAUAUGGCACAAACCCUUGGGGUCAUGUAUAAAAAAUAUUGUGUUAAAACAGUAAAGAAAAUAUGCUUCUUUUUUGUUUCAAAUAUUCUAAAUUUGCUAGCUUGGAUGCCAGCUGCCUCAAAAUAUCAGCUGCAUACCUAGUUUGAUGCUUGGGGACUUUCAUUUCAUUUGGUAUAAUUGACCCUGGCUAAAAAAAAGCAUCCUCACCACUACUAUAGCAUGUACUAAAAAUUUAUUUGUGGAAGGUAGUCUUCUCCAAUCUUCGCAUGAAUUUACUUUUUUUUUUUUUCUUUUUGUGUUUUGGCCUUUUCUAGGGCUGCUCCCCCGACACAUGGAGGUUCCCAGGCUAGGAG